rnacentral:sRNA from 1 species
GCCUGGCACGGUAGCCCAUGCCUGUAAUCCCAGAGGCUCGGGAGGCUGAGGCAGGAGGAUCGAGUGUUCAAAGUCAGCUUCAGCAAAAGCGAGGCACUAAACAACUCAGUUAGACCCUGUCUCUA